GAAACCGUUCAGGGGUAAACCUGAGAAACCCAAAAGAUCGAACGGGGAGAUUCAUCGUCAACAACGCUGGCUCCCGUUUGCGCGCGAUGCUCCGGAUGAAAUCUUCGGAUUUCAUUAGCGAGGGCACACCGCAUUCGGUGAACGUUCCGGCGACGUAGUCGUGCACUUCUCCUCUAGUAGAACGUCGCGACCCGUUGCGUGUCGGUCUACGGUCCGAGGCGGAGCCUGUCCUCUCGUCAUCUUUCGAUGACGCACUGUGACAGACCCUCGGUCGCCUGGCCGACUGCGCGACGGUACUCUAACGGUAUCGGGCCGCAACCAAUCCAUUUUCGAAUGUAUGUGCGUCAGGACCGCCGCAAGCUAGGUCCAGUUUACCCGGAUGCACGGACUAUGUGCCGUCCCCGGGCCUGGCCAGCUGUUAGCAGGUGGAGUCCUUGGACUGGCCAAGCUUCGAAUUACCGGUCGGCGACGCUAUUGCUUUGGGUACUCUCAGGACCCGUCUUGAAACACGGACCAAGGAGUCUAACAUGUGCGCGAGUCAUUGGGAUAUUAAAACCUAAAGGCGAAAUGAAAGUGAAGGUCUUCCUUUGCGUCGACCUAGGGAGGAUGGGCCUUGUUACGAUCAGGCCUCGCACUCCCGGGGCGUCUCGUUCUCAUUGCGAGAAGAGGCGCACCUAGAGCGUACACGUUGGGACCCGAAAGAUGGUGAACUAUGCCUGGUCAGGACGAAGUCAGGGGAAACCCUGAUGGAGGUCCGUAGCGAUUCUGACGUGCAAAUCGAUCGUCGGAACUGGGUAUAGGGGCGAAAGACUAAUCGAACCAUCUAGUAGCUGGUUCCCUCCGAAGUUUCCCUCAGGAUAGCUGGCACUCGUUCGAAUGAAAUUUUACGAGUCUCAUCUGGUAAAGCGAAUGAUUAGAGGCCUUGGGGCCGAAACGACCUCAACCUAUUCUCAAACUUUAAAUGGGUGAGAUCUCUGGCUUGCUUGCAUCAAAUUGAAGCCAAGAGAUCAUAUAUAUAAAUGAUAUAUGAAAUGGAUCAGAGUGCCAAGUGGGCCAAUUUUGGUAAGCAGAACUGGCGCUGUGGGAUGAACCAAACGCAGAGUUAAGGCGCCUAAGUCGACGCUUAUGGGAUACCAUGAAAGGCGUUGGUUGCUUAAGACAGCAGGACGGUGGCCAUGGAAGUCGGAA
rnacentral:rRNA from 2 species